UCUCUAUAUGUAAUAUAGACCCUGUGGGGGAUAAAAAUAGUGUUGACA
rnacentral:sRNA from 14 species